rnacentral:rRNA from 1 species
AAUCAACGCUGGCGGCGUGCCUCAGACAUGCAAGUCGAACGCGAAAGUCCCCUUCGGGGGACAAGUAGAGUGGCGCACGGGUGAGUAACACGUAGGUAAUCCACCUUCGGAUGGGGAAUAACAACCGGAAACGGUUGCUAAUACCGCAUAAUGCAGCGGCACCUAAUGGUGACAGUUGUUAAAGCGGGGGAUCGAAAGACCUCGCAUCUGAAGAGGAGCCUGCGGCGGAUUAGCAGUUGGUAAGGUAACGGCUUACCAAGGCGACGAUCCGUAGCCGGCCUGAGAGGGCGGUCGGCCACACUGACACUGACAUACGGGUCAGACUCCUACGGGAGGCAGCAGUCGGGAAUUUGGGCAAUGGGCGGAAGCCUGACCCAGCAACGCCG